rnacentral:rRNA from 1 species
AAUCUGCCUAUUAGUGGGGGACAACAUUCCGAAAGGAAUGCUAAUACCGCAUACGUCCUACGGGAGAAAGCAGGGGAUCUUCGGACCUUGCGCUAAUAGAUGAGCCUAAGUCGGAUUAGCUAGUUGGUGGGGUAAAGGCCUACCAAGGCGACGAUCUGUAGCGGGUCUGAGAGGAUGAUACGCCACACUGGGACUGAGACACGGCCCAGACUCCUACGGGAGGCAGCAGUGGGGAAUAUUGGACAAUGGGGGGAACCCUGAUCCAGCCAUGCCGCGUGUGUGAAGAAGGCCUUAUGGUUGUAAAGCACUUUAAGCGAGGAGGAGGCUACUGAGACUAAUACUCUUGGAUAGUGGACGUUACUCGCAGAAUAAGCACCGGCUAACUCUGUGCCAGCAGCCGCGGUAAUACAGAGGGUGCGAGCGU